rnacentral:rRNA from 1 species
CAGAGUUGAUCAUGGCUCAGGAUGAACGCUAGCGGCAGGCUUAACACAUGCAAGUCGAGGGGCAGCAUAAUGGAUAGCAAUAUCUAUGGUGGCGACCGGCGCACGGGUGCGUAACGCGUAUGCAACCUACCUUUAACAGGGGGAUAACACUGAGAAAUUGGUACUAAUACCCCAUAAUACCAUAGAAGGCAUCUUUUAUGGUUGAAAAUUCCGAUGGUUAGAGAUGGGCAUGCGUUGUAUUAG